UGAUCUUCCUAGCUUCUAAUUCUACUGAGCUAUACUGAUGAUGGUGUGUUUGCUCUCACACAUUUAUUCAAAGGACCAUUAUGAUGAAUGAUGUCCAAUUCUAGGUUGCUGGAACUUGCAUCCAAUCCUGCUAUUCCCAACUGGUGUGUUUAUAGGUUGCAGUGCUAGUCGUGGUCUCCUCCUGAUGGAGCUCUGUAUACGCCCUUAUUGUUUAGCUAAAAAUCCCUUCUCUCCUAAGAUCUUGUAAGAAUCUUUCUUUUUUUCUUAAGAAGCAUGCUAUCAAUGGACGGCAGAUGCUGCAGCACCGAAAAGUUGGUGACCAUGCUUGGUGUUUAAGAGCGCAUAUGAAAAAUAUUUAUCUUUUUUA